rnacentral:lncRNA from 1 species
UUUGACUGACAGGGGUGGCAUACUCAGUCUGAACUCGGACCCUCGCACCUGGCCAGCAUGUCGAUGAUCUAAUAGAAGAUGAUGCCAUAUAUGGUUCGAGUGCUAGCUCGUCAACGCAAGAUGAUGGCCCUUCAUCUCUUACAGCUGCAUCCUCGGAUGCAAAUCCUGCUUCCAAAGUUCGUUUUUGCAUGUAAGCUUUGGCAAUUUGGAUUGGUGAAGCACCCACGUCAUCUGUAACCUGUAAAAUUGAACAGAUCUAUUAUAUAGUUUUGCAAGCAAUAGGAAAUCGAUGGCAUUCUCAGUUCACGUGCUCUGAGAAACUAUGAGCCCAAGC